GAGAUAACUUGAAGGAGAAGAAGCUUCUAACUUCACUCUCAGGCAGUUUAACUCUGUCUUUAUCUCU
rnacentral:tRNA from 2 species